rnacentral:rRNA from 1 species
CGAGACCUCAGGUCAGGCGGGACUACCCGCUGAGUUUAAGCAUAUCAAUAAGCGGAGGAAAAGAA